UACGUAGGGGGCAAGCGUUGUCCGGAUUUAUUGGGCGUAAAGAGCGUGUAGGCGGCCAGAUAGGUCUGCUGUGAAAACUCGAGGCUCAACCUCGAGCUGUCGGCGGAAACUAUUUGGCUAGAGUCCGGAAGAGGAGAGUGGAAUUCCUGGUGUAGCGGUGAAAUGCGCAGAUAUCAGGAGGAACACCGGCGGCGAAGGCGGUUCUCUGGGCCUUACCUGACGCUGAGGAGCGAAAGCGUGGGGAGCGAACAGG
rnacentral:rRNA from 1 species